GGCGUUUUCUUACAAAUAACAAAGAAAAUGGAGCGAAGAAAACAAUGCUGCGGAGUUGAGCUGCCCCAGGCUUUCUCCCGGGGAAGGGAGAGAAGGGGCUGGCUCCUUUGGCCGCCUUGUCCAUGCCUUUCUCCUGCGACUGUCCGUCCUGCAGCCCCGGGGGGACGAGAUGUCCCCGACCCCUGUUUCCGAUGGGGGGAGGCAUCAGCCUUGGGCGCUGCGCUUUCCACUUGCUGUCCUGACACUGCAGCGUCAAUGCCCCCAGGGGCCAGGCCGCGUGGACCCAUCAUGCCAAAGUGUGCAAGGCACUUCACAUGAGACUUCGUCCCUGCCUGAGACAGUUUACAAUCUGAAUUUCAGACAUGACACAAGAAGAGGAGAAAAUUACUGUUUUCGGAAGGGGAGUUGCCCCUUAUCCAAUGAAAAGGAAAUCUUUGAGGACAAAAUGUUCAGAGCUACUGGAAGGAAUUCUUAAAUCCAUCUGACCAAAGAAGUGCAUGGUUUCUGAUAUUCUUAUGCUUUGUCAACUGGAUUUUUCACAACUGAUGAAAUUGCAUUUUCUUUCUGAUGUGUCUGAAAAUGGAUCCACAACCUACACCUGAUGAUCACUCUUGUUAAAUCUUCAUGAGCAUGAUCAUUUAAACCAGAUAAGAAUGGCUAUACUGAGUGAGCACAAUGGUACAUCUAGCCAAUCUGUCUUCUGGCAAUGGCCAAUACCAGAUACUUUAGAGGGAAUGAACAGAACAGGGCAGUUUAGUGAAUGAUUCAUCCCCUGUAAUACAGUCCCAGCUUCUGGAAGUCAGAGGUUUGGGACACCCAGAGCACAGGGUCCUUAACCAUCUUGGUCUAUUGAUGGACGUAUUCUCCAUGAAAUCUAAUUUUUUUUAACCCAGUUAUACUUUGGCCUUUACAACGUUCCCAGGUUGACUGUGCGUUGUGUGAAGAAGUACUUCCAUAUUUAUGUUUUAAACCUGCUGCCUGUUCAUUUUAUUGGGUGGCCCCUGGUUUGUAUGUUUUAUGAAUGAGUAAAUAUCACUUCCUUAUUCACUUUCUUCACAUCAUUCAUGAUUUUAUAGACCUCUUUCACAACAUAUACACCCCACCCCCAGUUGUCAAUCUCUCCUGAUAUGGAAGCCAUUCCAUUCUCCUAAUCAUUUUUGUUGCCCUUCUCUGUACUUUCCAGUUCUAAUAUCACUUUACAAAUCUGGCAACCAGAACUGCAGGCACUAUUCAAGGUGUUGGCAUACCAUAGCUUUAUAUAGUGGCAUAUUUUCUGUCUUAUUAUCGAUCCCUUUCCUAAUGGGUCCUAACAUUGUGCUAGCUUUUUUGACUGCUGCUGUACACUGAGCAGACAUUUUCAGAGAAACAUAGGACUAAGCAUGAAUGUAUAACCACCAGAUUUGUUUUAACAAGGUAACCAAUUACAUUCUGGCUAGGACCUUGUAGACCAGACCUCACUCACAUUUGAAGUCAAUAAGAAUUUUGCCAUUUGACUGCACUGGGAGCAGGCACUAUAAGGAACUAUCCCACAACAGCAGAAUCAUUGCAUUAUUUUACUUAUGGAAACAUUAACUGUACAUUUUACCAUUGCUAAAUUGUAUUAUUUUAGAUAUAGUAUAGUUGAUCAAAUAAUAUAUCAUCCCAUCAGCAACAGAUCAUGGCUGAGAGUGAAGGCUCAUAGUGCUCCUUAAGCUUAAGUGAUUCCUAAUAAUUAGAGAAGAUUCAUAAGUUAUAUAUGAUGUUACAACUCAUUUUCAUUUUGGGUGACAUAAUAGGUGGUAUUUCAAAUUAUCAAGCCUUUUUCUCUCCCUGCAAAACUUCUCUUUAUAACACAUUUAGAACAAAAUACAAGAUGGAUAUUAAUUGAGAUUCUAAAUAGCACUUACAAACAUUGGACCCUUUAAAAGUGCUCAGUAAAUCAGUUUGAUUUAGAAACAUUUACUUUGGAAUAAAUGACACAUAUGGUCAAUUGGUUUCCAAACAAUCCAGCGCCUUGGAAAGAGAGAGAGCGAGCACAUUAGAUCUGAGAAAUGCAUUCGGGAUUUUCAAGAUUAGUAAACAGUCACUUGAAAAAACAAAUACAUGACAAUUUGGGGGCGGUUGCAGAAUGUGGGUUGAAGUCUACUGAUAGUUUCUGGGACUUGAUGCUUAGGAGAUCGGUAAUAGGAUACAGUGCAUUUCAGCUCCAGGUCAUUGGGUUGAAUCCAUGCCAUCUCAAUAGAGACAGAAACUCAUUACAAUGAUGUCUGUUCAGUGGCCUAUGGGAAAUGAAUUGUCAAUGCCAAUGCAGUUCCUAAAUGAUGGGAGUUUACAAGACAAUUGCCCCCCUUGUUAGCAGUCUCAGUAGAGAAGCCAAGGACUAAAUAUGGUUGUGGCAAACCAAGGCUUAAGCAUGUUCCUUGGGCAGAGUGAGGAAGCUUAUUCUGCUACUGUCUGAACCACAAAGCAAAGAUUUAGGACCCCUGUGCUGUCACUAAAAUCAGUUUAAAUAAACAUUCUCCAGAUACAUCAGUUUUAUUAUUGGAAAUAAGAUAUUAAAAUGGCAUGUACAAUUGUAGCAUUUCUAACAUUGCAGUAUGGUGGUUAAUGUUAUUUUGUACUGAACUCGGAAUGUUUUAGAAAUCUGUACUAAUUCUACAUGAGUCUGGAGAUCAAUUCAACCAAGUUUGUGAUAUUUUUGUCUCAGCUUUUACUUUCAGUGAGAGAGCUGUUUUCCUCUACUCUGUCAUUGCAGUUGUGUAAAAUCUGUAAUUCUACUGCCUCUAAUUACAUACAGCCCAGAGAAAUGUCCACUUUCAGAUUGAGGCAUGCAGAUGGGAAUGUAGGAUAAGAUUUUUAGAAUUUUCAAGUGAGACGGAAGGAAGGCUUAAGUUCUGGAUAGAAUUCAUCCAAAAAUGUAGGUUGUGUAGUCUUCUGUAUUCC